AGGAAGCAGAGGGAAAGAGAAGGGGCGAGGAGGAAUGAUAUAUGCCUGGGUAGAAGAAAGGAGUCCCCCAGAGCACAACCUUUAAGAAGAGCCAAAAUCACUAUCAAGGAAGAACUGAAGCCUCAGUCAUGUGAAGGCCCAGAAGAGAAGACUCCAGGAAAGUUAUUUCCCUUAAAGGCCCGGCAUGGUAGCUCACACCUGUAAUCUCAGCACUUUGGGAGGCCAACGCAGGAGGAAUGCUUCAGCCCAGGAGUUCAAGACCCGCCUGGGAAACAUAGUGAGAUCUCAUCUCUACAAAAAGAAUUUCAAAUGUUAGCGGGGCCUGGUGGCACGUGCCCAUAGUCCCAGCUAACUCAGGAGGCUGAGGUGGGAGGACUACUUGAACCCAGGAGAUCAAGGUUGCGAAUGGUAUUUUGUGAAGAUAAUGUUUGCCGGGAUGGAAGAGAUGCCACUGAUUAUACUUAAUAGAUUUUGGAUCUGGUAUCCUUUCAGAGUGUUCUUCUUUGUUCUAAUAGUGUCUGCAGAAGAUACUGUGUUAUCUAUGUAGAUGAACUUAUCACCUUUAAGGAACAAAGUUUGUCUUUUCUCUUUCAAUCUUUUCCCUUUUAUUUUUUUCAUCUCUUACUUAUGUAUCUAGGAAUUUAUACUCUGUUAAAUACCAUGGUGAUAAUAGGCAAUUCUAUCUUGUUCUUGAUCUAAUCUUAAAAGCAACAUAUCAUGUUUCUCCAUCAUGUAAGAUGUUUGUAUAGAGACUUCGUGAAGUGAAGGAAAUUACUUUCUGGUUACAGUUUUCUAAGUGUUUUUUAAUCACAAAUAAGUAUCCAGCUUUAUUAAAUGCUACGUUUUGUUUUUCACCUCUUAAGAAAUUACACUUUUUUUCUUUAGUCCAUUAAUGUAGUAUAUUGAUACUACAUUACAGUAUCCAUAUACCAUAUGAUGAGUAUAAUGUGUAUAGCAUAUGAGUAUGAUGAGUAUAUUGUAAGAUUCUCUCAAGGGUAGAACCUCACAAUACCAUAUUCACAAUAUGAAAUGGGUAUGGAUCCAAUUUCUUUUUCUAUAUUGUAUGAGAUCAUUCUCCCAACCCAACCUACUCCUGAUUUAUAGUAUCACAUGUAUGACAUGUGUAUAUUGUGUCACAUGUAUGUGUGAAUAUACAUACUCACACAUGAGUAUGUGUGAAUAUACAUACUCACACAUGAGUAUGUGUGAAUAUACAUACUCACACAUGAGUAUGUGUGACUGUAUUGUGAGGUUCCCCUAAGGAUGAAGCAUUCUAAUAUUCCUAAAAUCAACCUGAAGUAUUUUUUAAUAUGAUGCUGAAUUCAGUUAGCUCAUAUUUCAUUUUAGACUCAGAUAGUUUACAAAAUAGUGCUUCCCAAUGUACCGAAGGCAAAAAGCAAAUACAAAAUUCAUGUAAGCAUGCAUGAUUUAGAGGCUGACCAAGUGGUAAUCAUGAGAGAAAAGUACUAGAACACAACCAAUUUCCUUUCUUCCAUGUUUUCUUUCUACCAUGUGAGCAAUUCUGCCACCUACCCUGCAUCCAGGGAAACUUCCUCUUAAAUAUUUAAGCAGCAACUGUUGAAAAUAAAAUAAAAUUAGCACCUGCUAAGGAAUAAACAAAUAGAUUCUAAGCAUUGUUUCACCACUCCAAAAGUUAAAAAAGAAAAUCUCAAACUAAAAGCACAUUUGAACUAAUGCUGUGAUGCCUACAGGCAGUCCUAUCAGAAACCUGGUGGUGAGACUGUUUCCACUCUUAAUGAUCUAUUGGCUCAAGAUUGUGGAGUGGGGUGGGGGAUGCAGUACAGAAAGGAAUUAAUCAUGCUGCUAUAAAGACACACGCACACGUAUGUUUACUGCGGCACUAUUCACAAUAGCAAAGACUUGGAACCAACCCAAUGUCCAACAAUGAUACACUGGAUUAAGAAAAUGUGGCACAUAUACACCGUGGAAUACUAUGCAGCCAUAAAAAAUGAUGAGUUCAUGUCCUUUGUACGGACAUGGAUGAAAUUGGAAAUCAUCAUUCUCAGUAAACUAUCGCAAGAACAAAAAACCAAACACCACAUAUUCUCACUCAUAGGUGGGAAUUGAA
rnacentral:lncRNA from 1 species